UUUAAUUUGAAAGUCUCUCUCUUUAUAUAUGUACGUGUAAAAUUUUUUGUUUCUGCAGCUUCUGUUUUCUUGCUUUAGGUGGCUAGAAAACGAGUCUCUUCGACCUUGGAAGCAGAAGACUUUUCGUCCUGAAAAACGCCCCUUCAGGAAGUACGGUUGGUGUUAUUUCUGUAUGGAAUAGGCUUCACUGAAUGCAUCUUUUAUGCAAAUUCAGGGUGCUCAACUUCAAAACUUAUUGAUGUUACCUUGGGUAGUAGGAAUUUGAGAGAACCAGUUAAGAUUGCCUCCUGGAGAAGAUGUUAGUGAGUGGCUAGCUGUAAACAGUAAGGACUUCAACAUUUGGGUUUCUUGACCGCAAUUUUUAUGUUCAAAUGGCAAAUUCUGUGUAAAUUUAUCAUUCAGUGUCUGCUUAGGGAUAUGUUCUUCUUCUACAGCUGUAGAUUUCUUCAGCCAGGUAAAUAUUGUUUAUGGUAUUCUAACUGAAUUCUGCACAACAUGCAACUGCCCAUCGAUGACUGCUAGACCAACGUAUAAUUCUGAUCCCUCAACCCUUCUGAAUUUCCAUUUAAAAUAGUUAAUGCAGUUAGAAUCUUGAUAAUUAUCAUCAAGUUAGCUCAAAGUUUUUCUUGCUCUGUUUAGCCUAAUAUUCUGUCGUAAUUCUUCAUAGGCAAAUGAAUCAAGGGCUAUUUUAUGCAUGCACUAAGUUUGUCUACUCAUAGAUGCAAGUAUAGAUGGGCUGAUGGAGUUAAGAUUAAGAAUCCAAUAGAGGUGUCUGCGCCCGCAUAUCUCGAGUAUUUGAUGGACUGGACUCAAGCGGUCUUCACUAUCAAGAGAAGGUAUCAUACCAAUGUUUGGAAGUUAUUUCGUCUUUAACGGCUGCAAUCACUCUGAAACCCAAGCGUAGUGUUGCACCUCGGUAUUUACAUGAAAUACGAACGACAGGAGGCUCGAACCAUAACAUGAAGAUUGUUAGGUGAUCUGUGAACUGGAAAUUGUUUUGCAGUUGAGACAAUUUUUAAGAGAUUGUUCCACUUUUUAUGCCCAUAUCUAUCACUCACACUUGCAGAGGAUCGUGAGUUUGAAGGAAGAAGCUCAUCUAAAUAGUUGCUUAAACAUUUUGUCUUAAGUUUCAUGUGUUUAUUAAUGCGUGUAGUCAUGCAGGAAUUCCGGUUGAUCGAAGUAGCUUAGCUUGCACA